AGUGAACGCUGGCGGUAGGCCUAACACAUGCAAGUCGAACGGCAGCACAGUAAGAGCUUGCUCUUACGGGUGGCGAGUGGCGGACGGGUGAGGAAUACAUCGGAAUCUACUUUUUCGUGGGGACAAAGGUGGGGAACCUUCCCCUAUACCGCCUUAGGCCCAACGGGGGAAAGCAGGGGACCUCCGGCCCUGCGGUGAUUAAAGGGCCGAAUUUCGGAUUGGCUGGUUGGCGGGGUAAAGGCCCACCAAGCCGACGAUCCGUAGCUGGUCUGAGAGGAUGAUCAGCCACACUGGAACUGAGACACGGUCCAGACUCCUACGGGAGGCAGCAGUGGGGAAUAUUGGACAAUGGGCGCAAGCCUGAUCCAGCCAUACCGCGUGGGUGAAGAAGGCCUUCGGGUUGUAAAGCCCUUUUGUUGGGAAAGAAAAGCAGCAGGUUAAUACCCCGCUGUUCUGACGGUACCCAAAGAAUAAGCACCGGCUAACUUCGUG
rnacentral:rRNA from 1 species